rnacentral:misc_RNA from 1 species
UGCUUCCUAGUCCGAGUCUCCUCCGCUCCCACUCUCUUGCUGUGCAUAUGUAUAUAUCUCAUUACACUCCCCCUACGUAUCAUUCUUCAUUGUUUUGUGAGGAGAGUCUGUGCUUUUCCAUUUUCACUCGUGCACACACCUUGCCUACACACACACGCACGCACACACAGGCUGACACGACGCAUACAACCGCUUGCUCGAAUGGGAAGAAGCGUCUUUGACUCUUGAAGUACAGAGGAGGAAACGAAAAGCUGCACUUACACGGAACAGACACGUCGAGGCAUCUGCGCCACGGCCCAUACCUUGGUAUUCUGGUCUCCAUCCUCCUCCGGCUUUACUGCCGCGCUGUGUGGCUCUUUCAGUGCCUCCUGUUUCACUCACCGCUCUUCCUGUACCUUAGCGUCUAUAUUUAUUUCUUACAGGUUGCCCCCGCCAAGCAGUGCUCUUCCUUUUUUCUCUCAAUCUCCUGAUUGCCCGUUCUCGAAACAAACCAAAAAAAAAGAAGCAGCAGCUCUCGUCUUUACUUGUUCUGCUUUUCGUUUUAUUGCAACAAGGGCCGCUGUGCAAGCACCUCACCCUUUGCCGCGCAGCCUUCACUUCCCCUAACGUUUCCCCCUUCUCUCCCUUCCUCGCUCUCUCCACACCUCCACAGCUGUCUCGUUGCAUCUCUCUGUGCGUGCCUGCGUGUGCGUCUGUCUGCCUCUUCUCUUGUAAGGCAAUAACUGUUAUGAGAGCUUUUUUUUUCGUUCCCUUGCCUUUCGCUCUCCGUGCCGUGUUGGGUUCCGUCCUCUCUUUUCCCCGCUCGUCGUCGUCCAUGCGCGCCGCCCUGGCGUUGCCUGGGUAGUCGACGGCACUCCUACAUUGCUCUCAGCAUUCUCCGUCUUCUUUCGUAUUUGUUGUACCCGUUGGGCUUUCGACGUUUCCUUUGCCUUUCCCUCUCCUCGCUACACCGUUGCAUGGUGCGGUGUAUGUACGCUCCCCGCCACAACGCAAACACACAGAAACACGCACACACGGGACCACAGAAUUACAACACGAUUAGCGGCGGCAACCAAAAACUUCUGCGGCCGCUGCUAUUGAUGCCCGUGCUUUUCUCAUUGACGUUCUCGUUUUCGUCUUCUCCUCGUCUCUUCUGACCAGGCGCUUAUCCUUUUUUUCCCUUUGAGGGGGAGGCUCAGCCUGUGUACAGAGCAAUCAUCACCGCGGCUUCCUUUUGCAAGGUCAGUCAUGGGCACUGACAAGGCUCUGUCCGAAAAGCUCGUCUUGGAGAAGACGAAGGUGAAGUCGUUGAGCGAUGUGCAGCGGCUUGACAUGUGGGGUGAGGGACUCACUGACAUCUCACUCGUAGCGAAGCUUCCCCGGCUCGAAGUGCUCGCCCUCGCAGCGAACAACGUGUCCUCGCUGAAGGCGUUGCAAGGAUGCGAAAUGCUGCAGGAGUUGUAUCUGCGGAAGAACAAGGUGGCGAACCUUCGCGAGGUGACUGCCUUGCGGGUGCUGCCGACGCUUAGCGUGCUGUGGCUGCGUGACAAUCCAUGUGCGCAGCACCCGUACUACCGCGAGUUCGUGUUGCACUGCUGCCCGGGAUUGCGACAGCUAGACGGGGUCGAGGUCACCGCCGAUGAACGUAAGGCAGCGGCAAAGCGCUUGACAACCAAGGCGCUGGACGAAAUUCUCGGCAGGACCGCAUCCGCGGAUGCAGCCUCGUCUCCUCGACCCAAGAAGAGCUCUGGCGCCGGCAGCAGUCCUGCAAAGGCGACGGACGUCACGCCGUCAAGCACGCCCGGCGGCGUCUCUGACAGCACUGCCACGAUUGAGGAGCGGAACGCCAGCGGCAGGUCGGUCCUAUUCACCACUGUUGCUGCCCAGCGCGCGAUGCUGCUGUCCAUUGUGUCGCUGCUGUCGGAGUUGACUGUGGAGUCGUUGGAGCUGCUGCAGCGCGAAGUGCAAGAGCGCGUUGAGAAACAGAAGGAAAAGCUUACCAAGUACGUACAGGAGAAUUCGCAGUAGCUGCCUGAUGAUGAACAGAGUACCCUGUCCCCAUGUCUCGACACGGCCUUGUUGACUUUCCAUUCUUUCUUUUCCUCCUCUUUAUAAUAAG